UUGAAGACCUUAGUUUCGGAUAUGUAAUAUUAUUUGGAGAAUAGGUUGUCGUUGAAAUUUUUACACUGCUACUUGACUCUUGAUUCUUGAGGAUUAUGCUAUUAGACUUCUAACAGACUGUUAAGUUUUAGAUAAAAUGAGAAAUGCUUUUAUUGUAAUUAUCUACAUUUCUAAAUGCACUUUCAACAUUGGCCCCUCUACCAUCCCCAACUAUCGUUUCUUGCCGAGGCUCAGUUUAAAUGAAUAAUAAGAAAAGGGAUCUUCUGUUAUUAUUUGAAAAUCCUCAAUCUUUGGUUAUUGAACUUGUGGGAAAUAAGUUACAACUUUUUUAUCCAUCUUUUCUUUUAUUGUUUAAAAUGAGAAAUAGCACAUAAACAACCUUUGGGUUGCCUUGAAAUAUGUUCUUUAUUGUCUGAAGAUGAAACCCCUACACAGCUACAAUCUUUGGAUGGCUUCAAUGAUUUUCCACAAAUUUACAAAUGACUAGGAGAUUAAUGUGGAUUUGGUUUAAUAUUAAAAGUACUCUAUAAAUUUGAUGUUUAACUCAUUUCCCUUCAUCUAUAUUUGCUCGGUGGGGGACAUCAAUGAUUAGCAUGUCAGCUAUAGACUUCUACUGCUCGGUUGACAAAGUCAAAGGUGUGGACGGAAAGGAUCGUGUUGUUGUGACAUUUGAUGGGAAGUAUUUGCCAUAUACUGAGCAGCUAUCUGAGCAUAUGGUAUCAAGAAAGUAAGAGAACUAAAAUCAUUGAGGCAAUUCAAACCAGAGUAACUGUCCCUUACACAUUGUAUGCAAUAAUGCAAGUAUAUUGCUUUGUGGGUUUGCGAAUAAGAGUGGCAUUAUAUCUAUAUUGUAAUUCAAAGAAUAUAAAUACGCAUUAUACUGUAUGCUUACUUAUCGGAUGGACAAUAAGAUACUUGAAUUGGGUUCUUUUA